GCCUGGGUGGCUCAGUCGGUUGAGCGUCCGACUUUGGCUCAGGUCAUGAUCUCGCAGUUUGUGGGUUCAAGCCCCGCAUCUGGCU
rnacentral:tRNA from 1 species